rnacentral:pre_miRNA from 1 species
UCUUAGGGAUGAACAAAUAAAGUGGUUUCUUGAGAAGGAAUCUGUUCCUGGUGGAGAUACUGUGAA